UACGAACCGUACAAACGUUAUUCGGAAUCACUGGGCUUAAAGGGUGCGUAGGCGGCCAUGUAAGUGAGGUGUGAAAUCCCUCGGCUCAACCGAGGAACUGCGCUUCAUACUGCAUGGCUUGAGGGAGACAGGGGUAAGCGGAACUGAUGGUGGAGCGGUGAAAUGCGUUGAUAUCAUCAGGAACACCGGUGGCGAAAGCGGCUUACUGCGUCUCUUCUGACGCUGAGGUACGAAAGCUAGGGUAGCGAACGGG
rnacentral:rRNA from 1 species